rnacentral:rRNA from 1 species
UACGAAGGGUGCAAGCGUUAUUCGGAAUUACUGGGCGUAAAGCGUGCGUAGGUGGUUUGUUAAGUCUGAUGUGAAAGCCCUGGGCUCAACCUGGGAAUUGCAUUGGAUACUGGCAGGCUAGAGUGCGGUAGAGGAUGGCGGAAUUCCCGGUGUAGCAGUGAAAUGCGUAGAGAUCGGGAGGAACAUCUGUGGCGAAGGCGGCCAUCUGGGCCAGCACUGACACUGAGGCACGAAAGCGUGGGGAGCAAACAGG